UAACACGUGGGGAACCUGCCCCAUAGUCUGGGAUACCACUUGGAAACAGGUGCUAAUACCGGAUAAGAAAGCGGAUCGCAUGAUCAGCUUUUAAAAGGCGGCGUAAGCUGUCGCUAUGGGAUGGCCCCGCGGUGCAUUAGCUAGUUGGUAAGGUAAAGGCUUACCAAGGCGAUGAUGCAUAGCCGAGUUGAGAGACUGAUCGGCCACAUUGGGACUGAGACACGGCCCAAACUCCUACGGGAGGCAGCAGGC
rnacentral:rRNA from 1 species